AGGGCACCCAGAACAGUCCAGGUGAUUGUCUUCUGCCCAGGUCACACUCGGGUCCUCGCAGGUGGUGAUCACUGGCCCUGUUUGGGGUGGUUGGAACUCAGCACUUGGUGAAGGUGGUUUUCUGUCUUCUAGAUCUCCAAGUUCCUGUUCUGGUGGCCGCACGUCACCACGAGAUUCUGCCUCCCCGAUUUUCAAGGGUCUCUGGCUAAAAUGUCAGUGUCUUUGGGAACAGUCACCCUUUCGAGUCUCCAGGGGAAUCUGGAGCAGCUGAGGGUCUGAAUCCAGCCUGAGCUAGGGACCAGGGUGCAGAUGGGGCACUGUGGGAACUCUGGUGCCUAAGUCUGCGUGACACCUGAGCCUGGCCGCCUGGCCUGGGUGAGGUCUGGCGUCGGCCUUGGCGGUGGCCCUGGCUAGCUGUGAUUCAGCUCCAAGGAACCUGCUUCCUCGUCUGCAGCGUGGAAAGAUAGCAGCGUCUACACAGUAGAAUACCUUUGAGAGGUCACAGAGAAUUCGGGCAGCAUUCCUGGUGCCCGUCCUGCUGAGAACGCCCGUCAGUCAUCUAGAGCUCAAGUUUAACACAGAAGGCAGCGGCCAGCGGAUGGAGGGGGCAGGAGGGGCCCCACAAGGAGAGCUUGGCAGUGACCUCUGUCCCUCCAGAGCCCCUCUCCUGCCGCCUUCCUACAGAGGCCAGAAACCUCUAUCCCAUCUGCAGGGCCUGGGCAUGGGGGAGAGUAUCGUGGGAGACCCACAUGCCUCUGUGGGCACCAGGACAGAACGUGGCCCGCUCCACUGACUGGGCAAAAGGUAGGCCAGGUGCCAUGGGGCACUGUGCUGAGGCUGGCGGGCAUUCCUGUCACUGUUUGCCUGAGGUGGGGGCCCAGGCAGAGGCUGGAGGCCCCAACCCCAACUGCAGAUGGGGAGAAGUCAGAGAAAAUAUGCUACCUGUCCACCUGCACCUCCCCCGCGGGUCAUCCCUCCCUGGCUGUGGGGACAGGAAUGAGUCACAGGAUGGGCCCUUGGGCCAACUCACUUCCUGUCCCCCGGCCACAGCCCGUCUGGGGGCUGCAGAGCUCCCGAGUCCUUCCAGACUCGCUCUGUCCUGUGGGGGUGGGUGGGAGAAGAACUGGAGAAUGGCAGGGACCCUGGGGGGUGGGGCUUGCAAGAUAGGGAAAGAGCAUGAGGGACCCAGAGCCCCAGGAGGAGGACAGGUGUGAGUCAGCUCCUGGAGGAGGGGGCACGUAGGCGGGGCCGGGUAUAAGCUGGGCAGCCCUUUGUCACCGUCAUCAUCAUCAAGACACACACGACGAGGUACCAAGCGGGGUGACUUGUGCUUUCUGCUUGGGAACAGCCAUGGCCCUCACUGCAGCCACUGCUAUCACCAGCGCUCACCCCGGAAAUUGGAGGCCAUGAGGGCCAGACUGCCACAAGCCACAGACUCCAAAGUCACAGCCAGCGAGCCCCCAGGGGCUCUUCCCGCGCCCUGGCCUGUCCUUGGUGUGGCCGCUAGCUGGUCCAGCUCAGCCCCUGGCCUCUCUUCCACCUUGGUGCACAAAGCCCUGGGGUGGUAAAGCAGGAGGCCAGCAGGGGCCAGAGGAAGAGGGGUGUGGCUGGCAGAGGAGGGAGCCUGGCCCGUCCGGGGCUGAGUGCCUGCUGGAGCUGUCCGGCUGGUGUUCCGGGUGACUCUGUUGUCCUCUGGGGGCCUGGGCUCCCUCAUCUGUAGCCCCCCCACCCUCCCUGCGCUACCCCCCCCCCACCGUGAGUGAUGCUACUCAGGCUGAGGAGACCCCAGGUCUGGCCCACUGUCCUUGAUGCACUCAGGCCUUCACCUGCACCCCCCCUUGGUGGCCAGCGGGCUUUGCAGGAAUGGCCUCCUUCCCGAGGGAGGGACGAGAGCCUGGCUAACCAGGCAGGGCUAUUUUAAAGGAAGUCACGGCCAACCGGAGAGCAAAGUCUCCAUCUGAGUUUAUGACAGGAUGACAGGAGGGCGGUCAGCCAUCGUCUGCUGGGCUAGAAACUUCAGGACCCUUCCAGAUCUUUCCAUAACCGCAGCUGGGGCUUCCUGAGCCUCCCUUGGUCUCGGGGUCCUACCUCAACCAAGUUCUCCAGCCGUCCAACAGCCUGGGGGCAGGGUGGGUGUUCUGCAGUGGAGGGGACAGAGGCCACUCGCCUGGGCCAGCUGGGGGGUGGGCUGUGCCUCGGCCACUCAGUUUACAAAACCUGGUGGAGUUUAGCCCACCUUUGGGUCCAGCCUGCUGGCCAUCCCUGCCACUGCCCAGGCCCAUGGCCACACCAGGGAGACCCUGCCACUGCCAGCACGCAGCCCCACGGGUUUGCUCCCGGGUGAGAGCCAAGCACAGCGCUGCUUUCAGGGUCAGUGCAGGCUUCAUAAGCUCCUGAGGCCACUCUCAGUACUGGUGAAGUCAGGGCUGUGCAUGUGACAUGUCUGGGCACAGGGACCCUACUGAGAUCUUAGGCAUGGCAGGCCAUUGGAACUGGAAUCCAUACCUUUCUUCUAUGUGACUUUGGGCAAGUCUCUCAACCUCUCUGUGCCUUAGAAUCUUUGUGUAAAUGGUAUAGACCUGCACGGGACCCUGCGAUAGUUUGGAUCUUGAAUGUCCCCCACAGGCCAUGAGUUGAAAGCUUACUCUCCAGUCCAUAGUGCUUUUGGGAGGUGGCAGAACCUUUAGAAGGUAGGCCUCGUGGAAGGAGUUAGAUCACUGGAGUGUGCCCUUGGAGUGGGUAUUGGAAUGCUUAUCCCUUUCUUUCUCUUUUGGCUUUCCAGUUGCCAAAGGGCCUCCUCUGCCAAGCCCUCCCACCAUGAUGCACUGGGCUCCCACAGGCCCAGAGCAACAGGGCCAAGCGACCGUGGACUGAAACCUCCGCAACCACGAACCAAGAUAAACCUUUUCUCUGAUUGAGUUGAUUAUCUCAGGUAUUUUGUGAUAUGACGGAAAGCUGACUCAUGGGACCCAUGAUGUUGUCUUGGGGAUUAAACGAAGAAGUGCUGAGAGCAGCAGGGGGACCCAGUGGCACUGCCUAUGUCCUAGCAGGUGCCUGUUGAACGUGUGCUGCUCAAGGAAGCCCAGCACUCCCCAGGUGUCACCCAGGGAGCCGGGCACCUAUGAAAGAGGGUCCUAGCUCAGAGCCAGUGUCUGCCUGAGGCGUGCCAGCUCCUUCAGGCUGUGAAGCUGGACACUGUGGGGACAGAACGAAGGCCUUGAACCAGGCAGAGAGUGGGGAGAAUCACUGUCAAUCUGUUUUUCCAAAUUGCGCUAUUUCAAAUGCCCUGGGCAGAUGCCCACGUGUGCGGGGUCACUCAGCUGGGCCAGAGGCCCUUUGUCUCCUUGAAAGGCCCCAUUGUGACCCCACACCAUCCCCAACUGCUUCUUGGAACAAGAGGCCCUUGUGUGGGCCCUGCAGGCCAGCUCCUCUGGCCCUCGGCUGGCAGCGGGGAUUCUGUCCCUGUGGGGUUGGUGCAGGGCGCCGUCCACCUCCACCUCCAAUAAGAGCCAGUGUUUCGUCAGGUUCUAGAACGUGGAGGAAGCCCUACUUCCCCAGAAGUGGGUCUUCUACAGAGGGGCAGAUGCCCUGGGGACGAACUAGGAGAGGACAGGUGGGGAGGUUGGCUUCCAGAGAAGGUGGGCAGCAUGGGACCCUCCGGGCCACCCUGCCCUGAGGGGAAGGUCACCAGGAGGAUGCCCCCAGGAGGUGCCCCUGAGCCUCCAGGAGCAAGGUGAACAUUCAGUGCCCUGUUGGAGUUGACCCACAGCGGCCUACCCGGGGGCCUCCUGGGCUGCACUCUCCCCGUGGGAGCCCCAGGGAGUGGCGUGAGGGCCCCAGAAGGCAGCAGGGACGGCCUGGGUGGCUCUCUGGGCUGAGUCCAGCCAGAGCACUGUCCACGGGAUCCAGAGGCCCAGCUCCACCCCUGAGGUCCCUGCCAGCUGGCCACUCCACUGGGCAUCUGCUAUCCCGUCCCUUCCCACUGAGCCCCGGCUCCAUCUGGUCCGCAAGCUUCGGCUCUUGGUCACAUCAGGGACAAGAGUCCCUCCAUCCUUUCUCAGGCCCGGGGAAAGGUGAGCUCUGCUCUGGGGGCCUAGGAAGCCUCAGGUCCCUCCCCUUGGCAAGGUACGUGCUGGGCCAGGCAGGCCUCUGGCUCUCCGAGGAGAGCCCAGGGGCUGCCUGACGGGGCACUGUCAUGGCCCCGCUCUCGAAAAGAAGACGGAGUCCAAGGCCCACGCACCCCCGCCUGUGAGGCCCUGGUCGAGGUCGGGGCUGUCCCUCUGCCCACACAGGCAGGUGCCCGUGCCACGUGCAUGUCCACCAGAGGUGCUCACGGUGGCUUCUCCCUUUUUCUCUCCCCUUCAGCCCUGGGGAUUGAACCCAGGGCUCUCCCUGAACUCCAUCGCCAGCCCUUUUUAUUCUUCAAGUUGAGACAGGCUCUCACUAAGUGGCAGCGGCUUCCAACAUGUGAUCCUCUGUCUCUGUGUCCCAAGUCCCUGGUGUGUGCCACCGCACUGACUUUAUUGUCGUCACUUCUUGAGAGGCCAGUAGGUCAGAUCUGCAUAAGGACAGAUCUGGGAGUAAUCAGGGCCCCAAGGCCAGAAGGGGCUGCCCAAGGCCCCCAUGCAAAGAGGCCUGGGCACCAGAUCCACCCCUUCCUGGAGGGGCCAAGGGAGCCAGCGUCAGGGGCUCAGCCAUAGCUCAGUCUCUGGGGUCUGGGUGCCUUUGCUCUUGCCCAGUGGGUUCCUUGAAUGUCCUCCCUCGUCACCCCUGGCUCCCCAGGCAUCAUGGGUUCUCAGAGGAGUGGUGCCCUGAGCAGGCAGGACUGCCACUCAGCGGACACUUGCACCUGCAGACACCAAACAGCUGGGUACAGACAGCUGCGAGCUGGUGCAGGAGCUGAGGGGCACCGGGUGGGUUGGUUAGAGGGGCAGGAGAAGGGCAGCAAGACCUGGGGAGGGCAUUCGGGGGCCUGAGGAAACCACACCUGCCCCAUUCACACCCAAUUCCAGUAGGAUGCAAUUCAGGGGCUGAGGUCACGGCUCAGUGGUGGAGCACUUGCCUGGCCCGUGUGAGGCACUGGCUUUGAUCCUCAGCACCACAGUAAGAUAACACACAAAAAGAAAGAUCCAUCUAUACUGAAAAGUAUUUAAAAAAAAAAUCGGAUGCAACUCAAAUGGGAAAUGAGUUGCAGAUUUCUAAAUGGUCUCGGGUCAGAAGGGACAGGAAGCUGUAUCAGACUCGUCAGCAAAGCCGUGGACUAGUAAGGGCUUUAUCACUAGCAAAAAUGAGAAAGGUCCUAUGAAAGUUUAUUUAAAUGAUUAAAAAAAUUUAACUUUGGGAAAUUCAAUUCAACCUUCUUGCCUCCCUCCCUUCCAUAAUGCAAAGGAGCCUCGCUUGCACCAAGUUCUGGGGUAAGCGCCCUGCAGAGGGCAGUUUUGAGACUUCCCUCCAUCGACACUGAAUGACAAAUUUUGUAAACACAUGACAAACCCCUAUUAUUUCGUAAUUUGUAGUUUAGUUUUGCUUUUUAGCUACAGCCCCUGCCAAGCCUGUUGCUCAUGGUUUACUAUGAAAUUUCAGUUAUGUUCACUGGACUUGUCGCAAGUGGCUAGAUUUUGAUACCAGUGACCCAGAUUUUUGAUACCAGUGACCCUGGAAUGUCACUCAUUCUUGAGCCACGGGAUCAAGGGGACUCAGAACAGGGGCUGGGCUUCCAGAUUCCCAACUUAGGGACCUUUGUCUACUUACAGCCUGGACAGCUAACACCAGAAACCCAGUGUCCACCGGUUGUCUCUGCUUCCUUCCACUCUGCAGCCGGGUCCCCUUUCUCCCCAGCGACAUUCUAAAACCAGUUGAUUAUCCAUGUCACCAGGGAACACAGAACAGACCACACAGCUCAAAACAGUUCGGAUCAGCUUUACAAAAAGUGAGAGGAAACAUCUGUACCUAGUUUUCUUUGGGUUUAAGGAAUUUUUUUCUUUCUUUCUGGUUUUUUUUUUUUUUUUUUUUUGGUACCAGGGAUUGAACCCUGGGGCACUAACCCACUGGGCCACACCCCAGCCCUUUCUUGUAUUUCAUUUAGAGCCAGGGUCUCACUGAGUUGCUUAGCGCCUCACUGAGCUGCUGAAGCUGUAUUUGCGAUCCUCCUGCCUCAGCCUCUGAAGCCACUGGGACUACCAGUGGGUGCCACCACGCUGGGCGGUUUAAGGGAAUUCUAACUGAGCACAGACUAGACUACUGGGGGGAAUGGCUGGGGCCCAGGCUGGCACUUGGCGAGUUUCCCGGGAGGGGAUGCCAUCCGGGCAGUAGAUUCUGGGAGGGUGAGGGCAGUGGCUGAGCGUGCAUGAUGUCAUCUGACUGUCACUGAGGCUGCCUCCUAAUUAAGUCAAAGGUCCUCAGAAGGCUGCCAGGAGCGGGCUCCCAGCACGGGGCAAUUCAAAACCAAACCCCCAGCACAGCCACAGAGGGACUAUACACAUGGGCACUUUAUAAAGUCUUUCAGAGGGUUCUCAUCUUCUGCUGUGGCAUUUGGAAAUGUCUUUCAGGUGAGUUUCAGUUCCUACGACGCUUAGAAGCACCCCAUGAAAUGGGUCUCCACGGAGCCCGUGGGAGCUCCCAUCUGCUGUUCUCAAGACCCAGCCCAGGGGCCAGCAAGGGAUGCUGUGGUCUUCUGAGGUCACGCUCCCCGUGUCCCACCCCACAGGCCCCCCCAAGACAGGAAGAGGCCCUGGACAGCUCAGCACUGCAGGUUAGCAGCCAGUCCCUGCCCUGGUGGAAAGGUCAAUGGGAAGGUCAACAUGAUACCCGUGGGAAAGUGUAGCUUUUUUUUUUUCUCUUCUUUUUGCCCCGUUGAGAGCAUCUCUGCCUUCUAGAAAGUUACGCUGAAGGAUGGGCUGAUCCGCCAACACCUCUGGGUUUUCAGCUCAAGUCUGGCUGCUUUAUGACGACUUCCACCUAAUUAAAGAGAACACGGCGUGGACCACGUAGAGCAGCGUGGCGACAUAGGAGAACACCUGGAACCCAGAGAGAGCCCCAUUAGUGUUGGGGGUGGGGGGCAGGCAGGGAGGCCCACGGGUCCACG
rnacentral:lncRNA from 1 species